GAAGCUGGGUUGUAUGUCUCUGAGCAGAGAGCUCCGGGUGGGACAUCCACACGAACAAAGUGCAGACAGGGGAUGGGAUGCCCCGUGGAGGACAGCAUCUGGGGGAGAGAUGACUGAGAGCGGGAAGGGCGAGCACGGUGGACAGCAGGGCCAGGGUCUGUGCAGGUCUGGACGGAGUCCGCAGGUGUCAGGUCAGAGCUGGCAGACGCAGGGACAAGAAGGUGACAAAAAGGUGCGAGUGUGCGGUGAAAGGACAAGCAGGAGAACCAGGCCGAGAUGCCCCAAGAGCUGUGGCAGAGGAGUGUUUGAUGAGGGCCUGAUCUCCAAAAUGGUAACCCCCAAAGUAGUGUGUUUUGUUGUGAAUUCAGACAGCCUGGAUUCACUCCAGCAUGCUGGAGACCAAGAAGCUGGCAUUCGGGGAGCAUAAAGGCAGGUCCAGAAAGAAGUUGAGGGAAAGGUUGGGGAAUGUGUCGCAAGACUGGCAGCUGGGAGAGGGAGUAGGAUGAGAUGUUGAGGGGGAAGCAGAGGGGCUCCUGAAGACAACAGCAGGAGAAAGAGUGGAAGAGGGGCCGAGCCAGUCCAGUGGCAACAGGCCUGGAGAGAGACACUGGAGUGUGGGCAGCGGCGGAAGCUAUCUUCAGGAUAGGAGCUGGGUCGGGCGAAUCGAUGGAAAUAGAAAGAAACAGGUGGUAGUGAAGAGGGGAAAGAAUGUCAUGAACUUGCUGGGGCUCCACGCAGGUAAAGGGGAUACUGCCAGGAAGAGCAGGGCCGCCUGAGAGGCUCCCGGUCCGGGGCUCUGAUAGAUGUCAUGAGGCAGGAGGCUUUUGUGCAGUAUUGAUGCCAGACAGCAGGAGCAGAGCAGAGCUGAGAUAUCAUCGCUGGGGCCUUUGAAGACCCAAGGUCCUCAGAGCAAAGCGGAAAGGGCCACAGUUGACACAGAGGACAGAGCAGGGUGGCGCCAUCAGAUAGACCCUGGCAGAGAACCUCAGGGACACCGGCAAGGACCAGGUGGAGCCCAGUGUGUGGAUAGCAAACUUGUUCAGUAAUGGCAUAGGGAUGGGUGGGAACUACGGUGGCACCAACAUUUGCCGUCCAUCACAGAAUUGGGGUCGUUGCUAUCCCUUGGCUGUUGAAGAGUGGACAUUAACAAGUGACAGAGAGACUGCACAGAGAAUCAGGGGAAAGCAGGGAUUACCAUGGGCAGGAAAGGGCCAUAAGAGGAGAGCGCAGUGGGUGAGAGGCUUGAGGGGUGAGGGACUCUGCAUCCAGUGGCUGAAACCAAACAACAGAGCAGGAAAGGCCAAAGGGGAUGGGAAGCAAUUGGAGGGUUGAAAGAUAUGUACAUGGGUGCUGAGAGGGAAUGGUGGCCUACAGGGAAAGAGGGGGCUCUCAACCUGUCAUCAGGGAGAGCAACGCAAUGGGCAGGGACGCACCCUGCUUUCAGUGCAGGAGAGAUGAAGCAGUGGAGGCAGCACAGGGACAAGAUGGGGAAGUGGGGGCCUGGUGUAAAGUCCCGUGGGCAAUGGCUUGAUUAAAAGGGAGGAGAGAGGAGGCAGAGAGAGUGCAAGACUGAGGUAAAGGGAGCCAAAGGGAAAUGGUCGCUGGGGCCAGUGGGAGGAUCAGGCCAGGGACAGUCCAGGACUUAGGGAGAAGAAUGAGGCAUAGAGGGCAAGGAAAGACCGAGGAGAGCAGGUCACAAGAGGGAGCACCCUCUGUGGAGAAGUGGUGACCCAGUGCAACUUGAUGGGCAUCAGGAACAUUGAGAUGAGAUCAUGGCCGUUCGAGAAGGGCCAGAGAGGGAAAGGGAAGGAAUGGAUCACACGAGGAACAGUCACAGGAGGGGGUGUCCAUGUGGCGGUCUCCGUGCACCACCAAGGGAGGGUCACCUGCCAGCGACAGAUGAUGGAGAGUGAUGGGAGAUGCAUGAGGCAGAUGGGGAGGGGAGAGAGGAGGAAGGAGACAGGCAGGUUAUCACCAAGAGAACAAUGAGAAGAGGGAGGUGGCCGGAAAGAAUCCAGAGAGAUGUCAGAGGUGCCAUUGGAAGGAAGUUCAGUGGGGGCCAGCCAGUGGGGGCAGAGCCAUGGAGAGAGUGGAGACGGGGGGGUAGCGAGCAGUGGGUGGGGAGCAGUGGCUACCCUCACAGCCUCAAAUGUUGUAGCAAGGGUGGCACUUUUCGGCCAGGCUCCUUAUUACGGAUCCAGCUGAGACAGGGUGGGAGCACGGCGAUAGGGCUUGAGGUUUGAGGUAGGGAUGUGGGUAGAAGUUACCUGGGUCAGACAGGAGAGCAGAGAUGAGAUCAGUGGGGCUGGGGGGAUGGGAGUCGGGACACGUAUCAAGUACCAGGUUCUAAGUGUGUCAUCUACUUUAACUGAGCUUGUGGGCUGAUCACAAGUCCAGUGUUGGGGGUGACACCAACCCUGGAAGAGGGAGGGUGGGAAUGCUGAGUCUCCCCAGAGAGGACAAAAGGAGAGUUGCUGCAGGAAAGGUGGAAGGGCGCCCAGUUCCAGGAUCUAGGUGUGUCAUCUGCUUUAACUGAGCUUGUGGGCUGAUCCAAGUCACUGUUGGGGGUGACACCAACCCUGGAAGAGGGAGGGUGGGAAUGCUGAGUCUCCCCAGAGAGGACAAAAGGAGAGUUGCUGCAGGAAAGGUGGAAGGGAAGCACCUGAAGGGCAGGAAAGACAGAUGGAGAAGAUCACCAAAAGGGCAGGGGUUCACAGAUCUGAAACGAGGAUGGAUGAACUAUUGAAAGGGACAAAUGACGAGCACUGAGAAAGAGGAGAAGUGGACCAAAGACACCGUCAGAGUCUUGAGAGCCAUGAAAUGCGGGCGGGAGGAGGGCGUGCGGAGUGUGGCAUUGAGAGGCAGGCGAGCCCAGUGCAGGAGGGCUUGUGGGGGGAGAAGGGACUGCCCGGAGGGAGGAGGAGGAGGGCAGGACAGCGGACCAGGGCCCUGUGCAUGUCCAGACUGCGUGUGGAGGUGUAGGGAGAGGGGCUGGCAGGAGUGGGGGCAGGAGGGUGUGAAGGUCAGAGGGUUGUGAUGGAAGGAAAAGGAAGAGAAUCA
ensembl:lincRNA